CUGCCAAACUCCACUCCAGGGCAGAGGCACUUCCCCUGGCAACAGAGGCUGAUCCCGUGUCCCCACACGCGGUGGGCAUCUGCUGCUGCCACGUCAGCUGUCCCGGGAGCCGCUAGGCAGCAUUUCCCCGGGUAUUGAUUUCCCGACUCUGAUGGCAUUGACCGCCUUUCCAGAUCACCGUAAGCUGUGACGUCGGAAACCUCGCGCGAUGGAAACGUACGCCUGUUCCCACGCGGGACCCGGGGCCGGGGGAUGUUCUCUCCUGAAGCUUCGCCUGGAUCAGCUGGCUUAGGAAGGUGUUCCCACGCAGAGCAGCCGAGGACGGCUGGAAUCCAGUGGCAAAUGUACUCCUCUCAGGGAGACAGACCGCUGGAGGGAGGGGGGAAGAGGCCAUUCUCCCUGUGCCAAUGGAUUAAAGCCUCGGGCCCUGAGGCUGCUGGCCCAGCUGCGGCUUUGUUCCGCCUUGUUCCGCGGCCCGAUGCCAUCUUACCUGGACCUCAGCCAUGGUCACCCUCCUUGGACAAACAAUGAUUCUCACACGCAAGUGAGAAUCAUGAAACAAAUGUGUUUCCUGGCUACUCAGGGGUUUUUCACUUCUAGAGAUCAAAGGUAGGGAAGAGGGCCCCAUCUUCUGUGUGUUUGAGUUGAUCAGGGGCUCGGCAGCACUUCAGAAAGUCCAGAAAGAUCAAACAUGGGCGUCGACGUCAGCAACUCCUCACUGGCACGCAGUGUCCCCUGAUGGGUGCCUGCUGCCUGCUGAGGCACAGAGGCUUGGGAAACGCAGGCCAGGUAGGUGGCACUCCGCUCUGAGCUGAAGGACCACCCACCGUGGAUUCCCUGUUCCCAUGGGCAAGUGUAGCUGGCCUGGGCUCAGGCCCCAGUAAGGUUCUCAGGCUGCACCCCAUAGUUCAAGCUGACCCUGGAGGGGGGGCCCAGUAACAGUGCUUGCUGAGGCCAAGGGAAGGGGCUUCCAGGGAGAUGGGACAUUGGGGGAGGCAGGGAAGACACUCCUAGAGUGCUCUUGGCCAGGGGGACAGGAGGUCAGGGUGACGUCUAAGUAGGAAAGGACCAAUUCAAAGUCCAAAGAUCAGAGCUCCUGUACCUAGCCCUGGGGCACUGGACCAAGUGCCACAAACGGGUGGCUUCACACAGCAGCAUUGCUCCAGAGGCAGAAAUCCAAAAUCAGGCGGCAGCAGGGCUUGCUCCCCCUGCAGGCUCUGAGGGGGGGACCCUCCCUCCGUUCCUUGGCAGUGGCCCUCCUCUGUUUUUGCAUGGCCAGCUCCUCUGUGUGGGGUCAUCUCUGCUACCUCUCUUAUAAGGACGCAGUGGUAGCCUUCAGGGCCCCCUGGACAGACCCCCUCUCAAGAUCCUUACCUUCGUCACAUCUCUUACUACUGACAAAAUUUAAAAACCGGAGAUGCCUCCAAUUUCAUCACAAGAGCCAAAGGGUGAGGGGCAGGGCCGAGGGACGCUCACCAGUCAGCGCUGCACCAAAGCCACCUAAAGUUGUGGACAUCACAACCUGCACUUUGGAAAGGACAUUGGCCAACAUGGCCUCGUUCUGGCUGGGUGACAACCCUGUGGGCAGGCUGAGCAGGCGGACCGGCUGCCACCCCACCACCCCGGCUGAGAAUGCUCCUGAGGAAGCAAAGCUGAACCGGGUAACAGCCGCCAGCAGAGCUGCCUCGUUCUGGGGGUCCCUUUGCCACUGAGAGGGCAUCCAGGGGCAUUUCCAGGGGUAUUUCCGGGGGUCUCCGGCAGAUGGGAAGGCACUGUGGCCUGAGAGCCACCUUGGCUUCUCUGUGGACUUCUUCCUCUGCUGCAAGCCCUGACCCUCGUGGGGAGGCGUGGCUGGGUGGAGGGUUCUGCCUGCCCAGCUGAGAGCAGGCAGGACCCCCUUGCCUCCUGAGACUGGCCACCCCGGUGAUAGCCGUGCCUCAUGUAACACACUCCCAGGCCUACGGGGCAGACCUCAGAGAGGACCUCACUGUGUCAAGGAAGCAGCCCCCAGUGGGGGGCGAGGCCAGCCUCCGUGCCCGGGUGGCCCUGGCACCUGCAGUGGAGGAGGCUGCUGGCCCACAGCUCGUGGGAUGGGCCUGGAGUGGCUCCCGUGGGCACCCAAGGCUCUCCACAAACUCCCGAAACAGCCCCCAGCUACCAGACUCCACGCCACACAAGCCUCAAAGGGGGGCUCACGGCCCCAGCUCUGCCCCAGGCAGCCCCGGAGGCUAGCGGGUCUGACUCCCAGACGCCAGACGGGCUGCCCGGGACCUUCUUGUCUGUGCUGACCACAGCCUGUCUGAGCAGCCGCAGCCUUCACGGUCUGCGGCUUGUGGGGCGGCUGCCAGCUCCAAAUCACAGAACAAAGAAACCCCGGAGCAGAGGAGCCUCCCACCACCCGGGCUUCCAGAUCCUCCUAGGGUUUCCAAAGAGAGGGCAGGGCCACCCACCCCUCCUCCAGGGAAGGACCCCUGCAAAGAGGAAGCAGACCCAGAAUUCCUCUGAGAAACACAAAACCCCUGUAGGGCCUGACCCCGGCCCUCCCCGAGUUUCCCCUUUUCCUCUGCGGGAGGGGUCAGGACUGGAACUACACUAAAACGGCUGCUGUGGUCAGGAUCUGCGGUGUUCCCCCACGACCCACGACCUCAACCCAUGUGGGAAGGCCUGGUCUGUCCUGCCACAGUCAGGAGGGGGUGGAACGUUUAAGAGGGGGCCUCCUGGGAGGUCUUAGGUCAUGGGGCGCGCCCUUGAAGGGGCUCUGGGACCCUCUUUCUCUCACACCCGUGCUGAGCAGGCUCCCUGGCGCCACAGCAGAGCCCAAACAGCAGAGCGAGUCAGAGGUGGACUGGAACCUCCCGAACUGUGAGCAGAGUGCUUGUUCUGCUCAUUUGCCGUGGCUGUGGGCCGUAAGGGUCUUCAAACACCGACCGAGCAGAUGCUGACCCAUAGCUGCUGGAGGGGCCCAGGCCAGGUUCUGUGGAGAGCAGGCUGUGCUCUGAGUAACUCCGUUCUGUAAAGCAAUGGUUUGCCACGAGCUUUGAGUUUAACUGCCAAGGUGGAAGGACUCCACACCUCGUUUGCACAAGAAAACAGCCACCAUCUGCCCAGCACAAACGUAAGGCAAAGACUGAUAAAUAAAUUAAUCAUGCUGAUAAAAACAA